ACACUUACCUGGCCAAGGGAGAUUACGUGAUUCAAGAAAGGCGGUUCCACCUAGGGCGAGGCUUAGCCAUUGCACUCCGGCUCUGUGCUUGAAGGCUGUGAAUCUUCCCAAUGUUGGAAAUCUAUUGCAUAAUUUAUCGGUAGUGGGGACUGUGUCCGGG